AUAUAUGACUUCCUAAAUAGAAAAUCAAUUAUUCUAUGGGGAAACCAUUAUAAGUUUAAUGCAAUAUAUUAUUUUUUAACAUUGAAAAAUGCCCAGGCCAUUGAUUAUUAUCUUUUUUUCAUCUAAAAUUAAUUAUAGCUGCAAAUAAGAAAGAAAAGUUAUACUGACAGGAGAUGAACAAAAAAAAAUAAUUAAAACAAUACAUGAGGGGGGUGUAUCUACAGUUGCAGGUAUUGCUAUGGGAGGGCAUCUGGGGAUUAAAACUAAUCAAAUAAUAGCUAAAAAAUUGGAUGAUGAUAUUUUGAUAAUAAAUAAAUUAGAAAAUAUCCCUAGAUAUUUUUUUCCUACAACAAAGGUAUGGAAAAAAUAUCAUGCUAAAAUAUAUGGUCUAAAGCCUCCCAAACAUUGUCGGGAUGUAGAAUGUAGACUAUGGGAAACAACUUGGUGAACCCACCAUCCUGGUGCAAAUUGAAGGUGAUGGGAAUUGUUUUUAUAGGGCGAUUAGUGUAGAGCUUACUGGAGCUCAAAAUUCCCAUGUUAUUCUCAGGCAAUGGUUGUCACAAUUUACGCUAACAUCCGAGAUGGGAAAGGUAAUUAAAAAUUAUCUUUACGACACGAACAAAAAAAUAGACAUAAAAACUUAUGUCUUAAAUAAUGUAAUGAAACAGCAGAUAUGGGCUUCUGACACAGAAGUCAGGGGGAUGGCCACAAUGUUAAAUACGGCUAUUUUUACUUAUAUAAAAUAUAAUGAUAAUUUUGUAUGGGCCCGAUA